CAGCAAUGAGUCAUACCAAAACCAGGAUGGAAGAAGCAUGGACCAUCGAGGAAGUAGCCUUUAAUGCUCCUGGUCUGUCGGGAGAGUGUUUCAUUCCACCUGCUGAGUUGAGAUUGGGUUCUCUCAGCGAAGCAUGUGAACUUCCUCAAGGAGAGAGGGCAAGGACAGCGGCUGCAGCAGCAGCUUAUCGGGCUGAGGUUGUUGCGCUGGAGAAAUUACAGGAGAGCAAUGUCAACAAUAUUGUACUCAAGAUGGAUAUUUAAGACAUGAAACUGGUUAGUAGCUUCUUAGUCACACAGUAGGCUAGUUUAUUUGCACAAAUAGACCGACGAAAGGAUGUAAGUUAGUUAGCUAGGAACUCAGUUGAUCGAAGAAUUUUGAACUUGAAUACAGAUCUUUCUGAAGUGUAUAUAUUAAACUAGAUAUCUGCCUUGAAAUGAAACUCUCAGUCAGCAGUUUCUUGCUAGUGGAGGCUUAUGUUAGUACCCGCAGGGCACUUUCAAGCUCAGUUGAGCUGUAACUUUUUAACAUUUGAGAUUUCGCUCUUGUAAAAUCUCGUCUCAACUGUAAUAUUGAAUAUGGUCAUCCUUUUCUGUCAUGGUUUUGUAUUAUUUAUGGUUGUACUGGCAUCCAAAUAUUAACUAUCGGUACUGAAAAGCUGUUUGCGUGAGAGGCAUUGGAGCUAUUAAAUGUUUUUGUUCAUUUUGUAUCGUGUCUAAUUAUUUCUGCCGCUCUUUGAUACGUCCACGUCUUAGCAGCCCCUGUAUCUAUAUGCUAAUACCGUUGCAGGGAGUGCUCUGCAGAGAUAACAAUCCUAAAAAUUUAUCAUUGCCUGUUAUAACCAUGGAUGAGUGAAGUUAUUGUCCCAUGAUUCUCAUUCUUCAUGCCCAAAAACCACUGCACAAGGUUUGAUUGAUGAGCUAGAGAAAAAGGGCAGGCCAGUUAAAGGUCGUGAAGAUAUCAAAGCCAUUGCUACUAUCUCUGCUGGAAAUGAUGAAACUAUUGGAAUCAUGGUUGCUGAUGCAAUUGACAAGGUUGGACCUGAUGGUGUCUUGUCCAUUGAGUCAUCCUCUUCCUUUGAGACUACAGUCAAUGUGGAGGAAGGAAUGGAGAUUGAUAGGGGAUACAUCUCUCCACAAUCGGUCACAGAUCAGAAGAUCUCUGCUAUUAAGGACAUAAUCUUCAGUGCUAUUAAUGAUGUAACCAUGAUUUACUGCCUGGGCAACUGAUAUUUUUGGGACCAUUUUCCAUUUGGAGAUGUGAUUUUUGUUUUUGUUGAGCAAUAUUUUAUAUUUUGGCAUAUAUUUGCCUCUGUAUGUAUUGAAUUGUUCCAGAUUUUUGAUCCAACUGAGGCCGACAACAUUUAAAGCAGGGAUUUGAGUCA